AUUGAACGCUGUCGGCAGGCCUAACACAUGCAAGUCGAGCGAGCUGCGGACGUGUGAGUAAUGCCUGGGAAUUGCCCAGUCGAGGGUGAUAACAGUUGGACACGACUGCUUAUACCGCAUACUCUUGUGUUGCCCAGGUGUGAUUAGCUAGUUGGUGAGUUAAGGGCUCACCAAGGCGACGAUCCCUAGCUGGGCUGAGAGGAUGAUCAGCAACACUGGAACUGAGACACGGUCCAGACUCCUACGGGAGGCAGCAGUGGGGAAUAGUGCACAAUGGGGGAAACCCUGAUGCAGCCAUGCCGCGUGUGUGAAGAAGGCCUUCGGGUUGUAAAGCACUUUCAGCGAGGAGGCGUUACUCGCAGAAGAAGCACCGGCUAACUCCGUGCCAGCAGCCGCGGUAAUUC
rnacentral:rRNA from 1 species